rfam:Fonsecaea multimorphosa CBS 102226 unplaced genomic scaffold supercont1.7, whole genome shotgun sequence.
GGGCGCAUAGCUCAGGGGUAGAGCGCUCGCUUUGCAUCACCAGCAAAUAACCUGGAACAGAGCCGAAUCGUGUGCGAGAGGUCGUGGGUUCGAAUCCCACUGUGUCCA